CUCGGCACCUCAUUGCUUCACUCUUUCGUGGCUGUGACUUUUGUUCAUAUAUGUCCAAAAUCGAAAAAAGUCCGCUAUGGUGGACUUCUGCCUCAGUUCAGGUUUUUAUCAUCUUUUUCCUCAGGUGAUAAGCGAAGAUUACAGCGCAACGGGGCAAUGCAACUUCUACAUAGCAAGAGAGGCCAUCCUCUCAGCACCUUUCGCUCUGGCCUACCCUAAGGGCAGCAAACUGACUCCCCUCUUCGACAAAUGGUUGCAUUUAUUGCAAGAAUCCGGGAAAAUCAGCAACAGUAUCCUGGCAGAGACCACGAACGCCACGGCUUGUCUUGUAAGGCCGGGGAGCGAAGUUGGCAAUGGCCAUGCGUCUUUCUCGGUGAUGGAUCUAUCCGGAGUUUUCCUCAUCUUUGUCGUUGAACGCUCUAAUUGGCAACCGAGAAAAGAUCGUCCUUUAUUGAUCAAGUGGAAUGAGAACGUUUAAAUAUCGGCCCAAAAUUCUCGUCUUCUUCCAGAUCGGCUUCAGUACUGGAUCGAGUUGCAACCUCCCUCAUUUAUUCUCUCUCACUGUUGUUGCCUACCUGAGGCUACGACGCAAAUGGCUCUGUCUGGACGUCAUUUGCGACUGGCCAGUGACUUCUGGAGUCCCUGGGUCAACUUCCAGUACGGGAAUAAUGGGUCACUGAGUAUGUCAGGAAUUGCUGUGGACAUCUUCGCUACCAUCGCUCGCCAGUUAAAUUUCACGUACGUCGUAAAAGUGCCACAGGACGGCGAAUGGGGGCGCGGAUUACCCAACGGGUCAUUUACCGGUCUGAUAGGACUAUGCCAGCGGAAUGAAGCCGACGUGGCCCUCGGACCCUUUGCCAUGUCAUGGGACCGUUACCAAGCAGUGGACUUCUCGACCACAAUCCAUUUCGACCAGUACGGAAUCCUGGUGCCCCGUCCCAAGAGGGAAGUGGAUCUGUCCGGGGUAACGAAGCCUCUUUCUUGGCAGGUAUGGGCAGCUUUAGCAGUUACGAUCUGCAUCAGCAUUGCUGUUGGCCUACUGAUGAAUGCCUUCAUCAAAUACACAUCGAACGCCAAGCGUAAUCCUGACGAGCAGCCGGCGGUCGACGAAAUCCAGAGCUCUUGGAUCACCAAAGUGAUGCUGA